rnacentral:lncRNA from 1 species
UGCGUGAGUCCCUUUGACAGCCAGCUACCCACGCAGCAGCCAGCCACCCCUUGACCCAGGUUUUGGGCGGGGCCCCAGCGUGAAGCGCCCAGGGGGCCCCCGCCCUGUAGGAUUGCCCAUGUCCGUGUGGCCGUGUGUGUGUGUGUGUGUAACGGACCAAACAUAAUACCUCGCCCGGCUGAAACGCGUUAUUGGUAAUAUAUUGCAUUCUCUAUUGCAAGGUAUCUCGCCUGUAGCCAACAAGCAUCGUAUGGGCACUGCCUUCAUGCUGUACGGCACUGUCUUCCGUGUGUGUUCGGGCUGCAGCACCAGACCGCAAAGCCAACAGGCUGAAGGCUGGCAAGCUGCGAUUGUGUCUGCUGAGCGGACUUGGCGGCCGAGCCCCUGCUGUGUGCCGGUAACGGCACCUCAGGCUCAUACAUUUACGCCCAAGCAAGGGGCUGUCGGUGGCAGGUCGUGGACCUCCCGACUACGUGUAACAGCCAAUGACUCUUCACCAUGUCUGCUAGGUUCCAGGGAGACACCGUCUCUUCAAAAGGUUAUGAGCCCCAGCGUCCUGCCUCCCGUGCUCUGACAAGCAUAGCUCCCACCGCAUCAGCACUGCUGCAACAAGCACAGCUCUCACCACGUUGGCACUACCCAUCAAUUAUCACACAUGCUGCCCUAGCACCGGCCUGUACGGAUAUAUGCAUGGGGGCCCGCCCUUUUCCGGCUCUGAGGAAAGCCGGCGGGCUUGCAGAGGUAGCCCAAUAACGAAAAUGCUACAGCUCCAAAAUAUAUGUACAGUAGGCGUGGUAGGUGAGCCCCGGAACCCGGCAUGCACUGUGCACCGAUGACCUAGAGCACAACUGUUGCACGCAACGCGUCUGCUGCGACUGUUGCGUUUGUCGCUCUUGUCGCCAUUGUAGCGGCUGUCGCCAUUGUAGCGGCUGUCGCCGUUGUCGCCGUUGUCGCCGUUGUCGCGACUGUCGCCGUUGUCGCCGUUGUGGCAGUUGUGGCAGUUGUCGCCGUUGUCGCCGUUGUCGCCGUUGUCGCCGUUGUGGCAGUUGUGGCAGUUGUAGCGGUUGUGGCUGUUAUUGCAUCAGGGACGACUGUCGUACAGCUGCAGGAAAAUGGGGCCCCUUAGCUCAGCUGGUUAGAGCGUGGUGCUAAUAGCCAUGGGCACGUCAAGGUCAUCGGUUCGAUCCCGAU